rnacentral:rRNA from 1 species
GGAAAACUUACCAGGUCCGGACAUAGUGAGGAUUGACAGAUUGAAGAUCUUUCUUGAUUCUAUGGGUGGUGGGGCAUGGCCGUUCUUAGUUGGUGGAGUGAUUUGUCUGGUUAAUUCCGUUAACGAACGAGACCUCGACCUGCUAAAUAGUUCGGCAAAUUCUUCGGGAUUUGUACGUGACUUCUUAGAGGGACUAUCGGUGGUUAGCCGAUGGAAGUUCGAGGCAAUAA